AAUUACUUUAAAUAAAAACACAGCAUUUGCACAUGGUUGAUAAGCCAUCUUCUCUGAUGUCUUCACAAAUGGAUAUAUCAUCAGUCACCCUCUCCAUAGUGUAGAAAGCCUCCCAAAAACAAAAACAGAAAGAAAAAAAAGGGUCUCAUUAACUUUGAUCAUAUGAGUUCUAGGAGCAGGAGAGAGGGCAAAGGCCCUGCAUUUCAAUUGAGCACUCCAUUUCCAAGCUUCCUCAAGAUUGUCGUUCAGCAGGCUCUUCAAGAUGGGAAGCUUAAAAUUCCAAAGAUGGUUGUGAUGGAAUAUGGAGAUUUGAUGGCGGACAAAAUAUUCCUUGAGGUUCCAGAUGGUGCAGUUUGGCCAGUAAAACUAACUAGGCCCUGCAACGGAGAGAUUUGGAUGCAAAAGGGAUGGCCAGAAUUCGCGAAAUU